GACAGCAGCCCACCAGGCUACCCCAUCCUUGGGUUCUCCAGGCAAGAACACUGGAGUGGGUUGCCAUUUCCUUCUCCAAUGCAUGAAAGUGAAAAGUGAAAGUGAAGUCGCUCAGUCGUGUCCGACUCUUAGCGACCCCAUGGACUACAGCCCACCAGGCUCCUCCGUCCAUGGGAUUUUCCAGGCAAGAGUACUGGAGUGGGGUGCCAUUGGCUUCUCCGCCCUAUAGGACUAAAGAAGUGAAAAAUGUUUAUCAGAUACAUCCUGCAUUGAGCUUUCUUUCUGGUUCUGUUUUAACAUAAAAUUAUUUGCCUCCAGCUUGUUCUUCAUUCCUAGGUCCCCCAGCCAUGUCACUGCCCUAUCUCCAGUAACCCAUGAAAUAUGGCCAACAAGCCAGCUGAGCUCAAAGGCCUCAUGGCAAGUGAUAUGCGUUCCCAGUAGGCAGUGCUGUGGAGAAACUGACCAACUCAGGUCUGUGCAGGCUGAUCUCUAGACUUCGCUUCUCUCCCUGAAAACAUCGAUAUCUUACAUCAUAAAUGUAGAGGAAAGGGUUUCACAGUCCAGAGUUCAUCCCCAUAAUAGACAGUGUCACCAUCGGGGCAGGGGCACUGUGAUCAGACACAUCUACCUGGAGUUCUUGGGGUGCCCUGCCAAGGGCAGAUCCAGCCCCUCAUUUGGCAGGGAGCAACCCUUGAGGUGACAGACUUUGCAGCCGAGGCAUGAAGGACAGUGAACUUCCUGGUUCCCUCUCCCUGCAAGUGAGACAGGAGCCCAUGGACAUCCAGCAGCAGCAGGAGCAGUCCUCUCGGGUCAUGAGCUUGGACAAGGAUGGGACCCAUCUGCACCGCAAAGGGCAGGCCUGUAGCUCUCCCACUGGGAGAUGCCAAGUCAGAGUCCCUGAGUACUCACCAUUUGCCCAGGGCUGGGACUUCCAUGAAGCCACCACUGCUGGGCAGAAGGAUGCAGGAAUAAUGUCCAGCACUUCCAGUUCAGGCACUGCCUUCCUGAAGGACUUUCCUUGGGCAACAGCUCAGACCUCACUCCUGCUUCUUCUGGGACUUUUCCUGCUGACUGCUCUUGGUUUCAUCUGGAAACUUCGCCGAGAGAAAGAUCGAGAAUGCUGGACCAAAGAGCAACUCCAAAGAGAGCUCCGUAAGUUCCGUACUUCCUCCUCCUGCAUGUACAAUUUGAGACCCUCUCUUGUGUCAUUGAUCUCAUGA
rnacentral:lncRNA from 1 species